UUCGUUUGAAAUCCAUAAUUUACAAACUAUAUUCUUAAUUGCUUAGAACACUGAUAGUUUACAUUUGUCAAUAUUACUGUGCUGCUAUUCUCAAUGUUGAUCGAUUAUAAUCAUUUACUGAACAUAGAAAUGACCACCACUCGUUUUCCUUAGAAACAACCUGUUUUCCUCUUAAUUUUCGACGAAAAAAAGUGAUAAUAUAUUUUUUAUGAGAAACAUUUUUAAAGCUAUAUGACCUACGAUUAGCAACCAAGUGUUAAAUUGCUUCAAAUAUACCCGUAGGAAUUUAUAUCAUUUAUUCUAAUAUGGCGUGCUUCUUUCGCUUUCAAUAUUAAGGAUCAUAGUUGUUACAUAUCAAAGAUAAAUAAUUGUGGCGAGGGAUUUAAUUCAUGUUUUUGGCAUUUGUUACAAUAUUUUCUAACUAAAUUGUCAAAAAUCUUGUAACGCCAUCGAACGUUCAGACAGAUACUUGUAAAUUGUAUCAUUAUUUUAAUGUAAAUUUACAAUUAAUGUACGUCAUUAAAAAGUGAAGAAUCAAUAUAGAAAACAAAAUAAACAUACCAAACUGUUGUUAAUUGGUGUAACAAAAUAGAAGUCACAGUACACCGAGAACGCUAAUUCAUUUGUAUCAGAAAGACAAAACAUAGCUUUCCUUCCUACAUAAUAUUGGUAUUGGUCAACAAUUCCCAUCUCAUACAUUUUUGGAUCAAUACAAAAAUUUUGUUAAAAUCUGUAUUAUUUCGAGAAUCUUCAGGCAUUUAUCAUUUGACGAUCCGUUAGAACCAAGCCGUAAUACUGGUUAAAUCUUAGGGUACACACACAAUGGGCUGUGAUACUAAGAAUUGACUCCCCACUCGAGCGUGAAAUAAAUUGAGGGGAAAUUGGCCCUACCUCUUCGUUUAAAAAAAAAUCGCAACGAGUCGAUAAAACCAUAUACUUGGGCCCGGUUGUUCAAAAGAGUCGUUAGCCUUAACGGCGAUUAAGGCUAACGAGUCGUUUAAUUCCAACUAAGUCACUAGCUAACACAUGCGUUUAAAUGUGCUGUUCAACGACAAUGUUAACUAACACUGCGUUAGGAGUCGUUAUUUGUUUUAUAUUAAAUCGUAAUUCAUAAUGCACAGAAAAUUUUCAGUUCUUGUUACCAAGAUAACUCAAUUGUCUGAAAACACUAAAAAAAAAAAAAACCAAUUGCGAAGGGAUAAAAAAAAAAGCAAAUUUCACCUCUUAUUGUGCAAAUUUAAUUAGUAAACUAGUUGGAGUUGUUGAAAGUUGGAUUUAGUACUGAAAUUUCAAAUCAGAAGAAAAAUGAAGUAUGGAAACAAAUUACUGAGGAGGUGAAUGCUUAAGGUAACUGCCUCAGAACUGAAGCAGAAGUCAGAAACAAAUAAAGGAACAUUUGUCGUGGGAAAAAAGAAAAAUUUACAUAUUCCAGAAAGGAAACAGGCAAGACAGGAGGUGAACCACCACCCGCACAACUUAGUUCUGCUGAUGAAAAUAUAAUACAUGUUAUGAAGAAUAGUGCCUCAUUCAGUGUAGUUUGUGGCAUUGAAACAGAUAUAACUUGUAAUGCGUACAGCCAACACCAACAGGAAGAAAACAGCAGAAGACGUGCAUUCGUUAUAAUGUGCAGUUCUGGAAAAAGAACUGGAGAAGAAUAUCUUACAAUUAGAUCUCCAAAAAAAAUUGCUAUGUAAAUAUGACAAUUUCGAUUCGGAUGCAGUAGAAUUACUGUUAGUUUUGGGGCAGUGAUUGUAAUAACAUAAAUUAAUAGAUAAGUGAACAUGAGGACUCUAUUUACUUAAUGUUUGACUUGUUUUAAUUGCCUUUUCCUAUAUGCUAUUUUAAUUACCAAAUUCAUUUUUUUUAAAUGCUACAGAUAUUAAAUUGAUUUAUGUUCAAUUAUUUCAUAUUGUAUUUAAUUCAAUUAAUUUGAAAUUGAUGAUUAACUUACAAAUGAAGACUGUAAGCAAUUUUGAUUUUGCGUUGUUUUUUUGUCAAUAAUGUAGUCUAUAAUAAAAAAGUGUAACAUUU